rnacentral:tRNA from 1 species
GCCGGAGUGGCGGAAUGGCAGACGCAGCAGACUCAAAAUCUGCCGCCCCUUGGGCGUAUGGGUUCAAGUCCCUUCUCCGGUACCA